rnacentral:rRNA from 1 species
GACGAACGCUGGCGGCGUGCCUAAUACAUGCAAGUCGAGCGGACUUGAAGGAGUGCUUGCACUCCUGAGAGUUAGCGGCGGACGGGUGAGUAACACGUAGGCAACCUGCCCUCAAGACUGGGAUAACUACCGGAAACGGUAGCUAAUACCUGAUAAUUUAUUACAUAGCAUUAUGUGAUAAUGAAAGACGGAGCAAUCUGUCACUUGGGGAUGGGCCUGCGGCGCAUUAGCUAGUUGGUGGGGUAACGGCCCACCAAGGCGACGAUGCGUAGCCGACCUGAGAGGGUGAACGGCCACACUGGGACUGAGACACGGCCCAGACUCCUACGGGAGGCAGCAGUAGGGAAUCUUCCGCAAUGGGCGAAAGCCUGACGGAGCAACGCCGCGUGAGUGAUGAAGGUGUUCGGAUCGUAAAGCUCUGUUGCCAAGGAAGAACGUCUCAUAGAGUAACUGCUAUGAGAGUGACGGUACUUGAGAAGAAAGCCCCGGCUAACUACGUG